GGGAGUGGCGCCCAUUCCCAGGCAGGCUUCAACGCCACUGAAAGCCAGCGAUGGAGACAGGCAGCCUCUGAGAAAAGAGACAGCAGUGGGAAAUUUUGCUUUGAUGCUGGCUCGUCAGCUAGCUCCGGCACCAGGGAGGAGGAGGAGGAAGGACUGCCGGCUCUCGCGAUGCUCCCCUGCAUGUGCAUACAUGCAGAGCUGAGCUCAGCCAGAGAUCCUGGGAGAGGGCUGCAGCAACCGCAGAGCAAGUCACCAGCUGUGCCCUGCCUGACUGGGCAACACAUGGCUGGCACAGCAUGAGCCCCACAGUGGCAGCCAACCACCCGCCAUUGGACAAGAAAGACCGCGGAGAAGAGCUGGCACUGCAAGGAGGCUGUGAAAGGACCGUGUCGUACAACCGUCCAUCGUCCCAAGAUGUCGGUCAUCAGUCCAGGAACUCCAGAGCUUCUUGGAAAUCUUUACCUGCCUACAACAAAGCCCAUCACAAUUCAGCUGGGCAAAUAUGUAAAACUGACAAAGCCACAAUGAGCCAGGUCUCCACCCCCUUGGUAGGCACCACCAUGACAAUGUGGAGGCCUUAAAGAGAUGCCAUCAUAUAACAAAGACCAUGAACUUCCAAGCAAUAGGGAUCACCCUCUUCUCAGCAGGAUCAAAAGACAUGAACAUUAAGUGGUCAUGUUGCUCCACUGGUUCCCUCAAGUCAAGAGUUGACCACAAAGUUUCAUUCUUCUUUGAUGAACGGAUGCCACAGUUAAUUCUGGCUCCUUUCCUGCCCCCAAACGUAUUGGCACUGUCACAGUCCUUCUACCCAGUUUUUGGGUCCAUGCUUAUGACCCAAGCAGGUACUCUAGGAAGGCAAAAUAGCAAAGUAAGGUAGGUGUUCAAGAAACUCCAGGGGAAUCUAUUUGCCCAAUUAAUGACCUUCCUAUCUAAAUUGGAAUUUUCCUUUCAAGUUUGCCAUCCAGUGCAGUUUCUCACACUGAUCUUCUCCACCCACAUAAACGUUCCACCUCUGCCCUGGCUGCUGUCUCCAGUUUUCAUCCACACCUGUGAUACUCUAGUCAUGGUCCAGUAUGUCUCCCCCUCUACUUCAGGGCAGUUUUACCCCCAUUUUUAAAGCCAUUUUCUCCAUAUGCACCUUGACCACAUUUGUGUACCCGUGCUCACUGCACACAUGCAGCUCACGAGUGUGUGUAACGCAGGGAUCUGGAGACUUCCACCCAGCAGCUCCAAAGCCCCCACAUCCCUCACCUGCAGUCACCUGCAAUGGUGCUCCAUAGUCUUCCUUUGCCUGGCUGAAGCAAUGGCCUUGCUUGGGAAUGAAGGGAAGCAAGACAAAGAGACCUGGCAAUGGACUGGUUAUACACAGCAGAUCCAAGCCAAGAUCCCACCACAAAAGUGAGAGUUAUUUCCUUGAGACAGCACAGACAAGACAAGCUUUAUAUAAAUCACAUACAGCAAUGCAUACUCACACAGAGCUAUAUGUAAGAUAUAUAUACAGUACACACCAAAAUAACACCAAGGAGUAUGGAUGCCAAAGAAGGGGUAAAAUUAGUAUAUUAGAGAAGUGGCACAAUCUUAUAAGAGAACGGAAAAAGGGCCUAUUUUAAACAGUAAUGAACACAUUUCAAAAAUAUUGGAUAUUCUUGGCUUGGAGCCCUACAUACCACAACAUACGACAAUCACAUCAGAUUGAAGAAUGAGAAAAAUCAGCCAGAAGGUCCAUGGGAGAUCUCCCAAGAAAAACAAGGAUUGUAUGUGGUAGGGCGCUGCAGCAAAUUAUUUCCCUGGCAUCACAGAGUGCACCAGUGUUCUGUCUAGUCCAGCCUGCUGCUGAAAUGCAACUUUCUGAGUCACACAGCCCUUACAUGGCAAAAAUUAGCAAAACCUCAGAAAUAUUUUUUUUUAAUCUAUUCCUUGAAGGUUAGUCCAAUAUUAAUGAGACAAAAAGCAACGUUGGCAGAGAAUACCAGAUGCCAUUUAACCCAGAGAAAGCUGAAAUGCCAAUAAUGUAAAUUGGAACCAAAUAAUACUGUUGUUAGCUCAAUGACUUCAUAACAAUCAAGUUAAGGAGGAAAAGGGAGAUGGAAAAUAAAUGAAAAUAGGCUGGACAGUUUUUACCACAAUUGGAUAAUGUGUCCAAGGGCAUUGAAGGAGUCAGGAGCAUCCUAAGGUUAGGAAUCAACCCUGAGAAGACUUAGCAGAUCCUCUAGAAUGGAAAAACUAAUCAAUGCAAGGUAGUACUUAUCUGUAAUAAAGCCUACUAUAAUAUUAAACAAGAACUAAUUAAAUUCAAAUAAAGGCACUACACAUAUUGAUCAAUAAUAAGUGCAAAAUGUAUUCAGAAUCACAGCACUAAAAAAUUAAGACCUACUACCAAGAUGGGGGCACACAUGGUGAUUUGAAGAUGCACCCAUUCUGCUCCACACUUUAUGGACAUCAGGACUUCAAUGCAAUACCUUGGGCAAAAUACCCCCCCAGCACUUUCUGAGGAGAAAUCUGUGCCCGAGACACCAACACAGCUCUGAGCAUCAUUUGCCCGGCUCAACUUACAGGAAAAAGUUUUCCUAACUUUCCCAUCCUUUUUGACGCCGUUUUACUGGAUUAUUUGAUUAUAAGCAUGAGGGAUGAAUUGCAGGCAGAGGGUAACUCAAUCCCUCUCUCCCUGGAGGAGUCCUACUGGCAGCUUGAAGUGAGGUGCUGACCUUGGUUACUUUACCCUGGCUUUUUUCUCCUGCAAGCAACCACAAGACAAACCUCAAGCAAAAUUGUCCGAAACUCUCCUGGAGAUUUGGGAUUCAGUCCAACAUGGGUGCUAUUUGAACUUCAUGAAAUGAACAUCUUAAAUAAAAAGGUUUGCAGUGGUG